UGAGUGCGAGCUGCUACGGCAGCGAAGUUGGUGAUGUCAUGCUUCCAAGAAAAGCCCUAUACCCGUUAAGGCAUCAUGGCCUGUACCCGAAACCGACACAGGUGGGGUGGUAGAGAAUACCGAGGGGCGCGAGGUAACUCUCUCUAAGGAACUCGGCAAAAUGGCCCCGUAACUUCGGGAGAAGGGGUGCCACCGCAAGGUGGUCGCAGUGAAGAGGCCCAGGCGACUGUUUACCAAAAACACAGGUCUCCGCUAAGUCGCAAGACGAUGUAUGGGGGCUGACGCCUGCCCAGUGCCGGAAGGUUAAGGAAGCUGGUCAGCGCAAGCGAAGCUAGCGACUGAAGCCCCGGUGAACGGCGGCCGUAACGAUAACGGUCCUAAGGUAGCGAAAUUCCUUGUCGGGUAAGUUCCGACCCGCACGAAAGGCGUAACGAUCUGGGCGCUGUCUCGGAGAGAGGCUCGGCGAAAUAGAAUUGUCUGUGAAGAUGCGGACUACGUGCACCCGGACAGAAAGACCCUAUGAAGCUUUACUGUAGCUUGGUAUUGUGCCCGGGCUCGCAAUGCGCAGGAUAGGUGGGAGGCUUUGAUCAUCGGCUUGCGGGUCGACGUGAGCCAACGGUGAGAUACCACUCUUUGCGAGCUAGGGUUCUAACGGCCACCCGUCAUCCGGGGGCCGGACAGUACCUGGUGGGCAGUUUGACUGGGGCGGACGCCUCCUAAAAGGUAACGGAGGCGCGCAAAGGUUUGCUCAGGCUGGUUGGAAAUCAGCCGACGAGUGUAAAAGCAGAAGCAAGCUUGACUGUGAGACCAACAAGUCGAACAGGGAGGAAACUCGGCUUUAGUGAUCCGACGGUUCUGAGUGGAAGGGCCGUCGCUCAACGGAUAAAAGUUACUCUAGGAUAACAGGCUGAUCUCCCCCAAGGGUUCACAUCGACGGGGAGGUUUGGCACCUCGAUGUCGGCUCAUCGCAACCUGGGGCUGAAGUCGGUCCCAAGGGUUGGGCUGUUCGCCCAUUAAAGCGGUACGCGAGCUGGGUUCAGAACGUCGUGAGACAGUUCGGUCCAUAUCCGGUGCACGCGCAGGAAUAUUGAGAGGAUUUCUCCCUAGUACGAGAGGACCGGGAGGAACGCACCUCUGGUGUACCAGUUAUCGUGCCAACGGUAAACGCUGGGUAGCCAUGUGCGGAGUGGAUAACCGCUGAAAGCAUCUAAGUGGGAAGCCCACCUCAAGAUGAGUAUUCCCAUGGCGUAAGCCAGUAAGGUCACGGGAAGAACACCCGUUGAUAGGCUCUAUGUGGAAGCGCAGUAAUGCGUGAAGCAGAGGAGUACUAAUAGACCGAGGGCUUGA
rnacentral:rRNA from 1 species